rnacentral:rRNA from 1 species
UAAUUAAAAGUYGGAUYUGCUCAAUGAGGAAUUAAAUAGCUGCAGUAUAUUGACUGUACAAAGGUAGCAUAAUCAAUAGUUUUUUAAUUGGAAGCUGGAAUGAAUGAUUUGAUAAGAAAAAUAUUGUCUCAAUUAAAUUAAUGUUAGAAUUUUUUUUUCAGUAAAAAUACUGAAUUAUAUUUAAAAGACGAGAAGACCCUAUAGAUUUUUAUAUAUUAAUGUAAAUUUAUAUUAAUUUAAUUUAUUAUUGAAUGUUAAUAUAUUUGAUUGGGGUAAUUAUUGAAUUAACAAAAUUUUAAUUUUUAAUAUACAAUAAUAUUUGAAUAAAUGAUCUUUAAUUUAAGAAUGAAAGAUUAAAAUACCUUAGGGAUAACAGCGUAAUUUUUUUGGAGAGAUCAUAUUGAUAAAGAAGUUUGCGACCUCGAUGUUGAAUUAAGAUAAAAUUUUAAUGCAAAAGUUAAAAAUUUUUGGUCUGUUCGACCAUUAAAAUCUUACGUGAUC